rnacentral:tRNA from 1 species
GGGUCCGUAGCUCAGUCUGGCUAGAGUACCUGCCUUUUAAGCAGGCUGUCGCGGGUUCAAAUCCCGUCGGACCCGC